UGGGGGUAUAACAGAAAAACUAAGUCACAGCUUGAACCAGUGAUUGAGCACCUGGUGGGAAGGCAGGGCCAACCCAGGGGAGCUCAGGUGCACUCAGCUGAGUGACUGGAAGGCGUGGAGCCAGGAUCCACCCCUUCCCAGAUCUCAUUUAAGGGUUGGCAGUGAAACCAAGGACAUCUUGCUGGAGAUUCCUGCCUAUCUGAGGUGCUGUGAGGAGCUUGCUCCUGUCCUGUUCUUUACCUCAUUUGUCACAGUGAUAAAUCAUGCACAAGGAUGUAACUCAACACGACAGCAGUUUACUUUCAGCAAAGUCUGUUUCCAUAUGGUGCCUCGGAGCAUACAAACACAUCAAUAUGGGAAGAUGAAAUCUCCAGACAUUACAAAGCCAGUUGGUCAGAAGACAUGCUGACUGAUUGCUGAUGCUGGGCCCUGAUGCUCUGAUAGGCACAAGUACUUGGACUGCAAAGGCACCUGUGUGCACUGAUGCCCUGUCUGUGUCAGAAUUGCAUCCAAGCAUGGUCAUUCAGGAAGAUGGGCUGACAGAGCCCGAUGGCAGGUGUAGUAAGCCCUUGUCUAAAUAAACUUCUUGGACUGCUUUCUGAGGGACA
rnacentral:lncRNA from 1 species